rnacentral:rRNA from 1 species
UGAUCAGUGGCGAACGGGUGAGUAACACGUGAGUAACCUGCCCCUGACUCUGGGAUAACUGCUGGAAACGGUGGCUAAUACCGGAUAUGAGAUCCUUGCGCAUGUGGGGGUCUGGAAAGAUUUUUUGGUCAGGGAUGGGCUCGCGGCCUAUCAGCUUGUUGGUGGGGUGAUGGCUCACCAAGGCGACGACGGGUAGCCGGCCUGAGAGGGCGACCGGCCACACUGGGACUGAGACACGGCCCAGACUCCUACGGGAGGCAGCAGUGGGGAAUAUUGCACAAUGGGCGCAAGCCUGAUGCAGCGACGCCGCGUGAGGGAUGAAGGCCUUCGGGUUGUAAACCUCUUUCAGCAGGGAAGAAGCGCAAGUGACGGUACCUGCAGAAGAAGCGCCGGCUAACUACGUGCCAGCAGCCGCGGUAAUACGUAGGGCGCAAGCGUUGUCCGGAAUUAUUGGGCGUAAAGAGCUCGUAGGCGGUUUGUCGCGUCUGCUGUGAAAACCUAAGGCUCAACCUUGGGCUUGCAGUGGGUACGGGCAGACUAGAGUGCGGUAGGGGUGACUGGAAUUCCUGGUGUAGCGGUGGAAUGCGCAGAUAUCAGGAGGAACACCGAUGGCGAAGGCAGGUCACUGGGCCGCAACUGA